UAAUGGUUCUACCAUUGGAGUUAAAAGGGAAUUCGGUGUAAAUCCGGGACUUUUCCUGAAGCUGUAAUUCUCAAUACUUUUUAGCAUUAGCCACUGCCUUAGCGGGAAGGCGUUAAAAAGGAGAUAAGUCAGAAGACCUGCCAUCAGCAC
rnacentral:ncRNA from 1 species